UACAGAGGUCCCAAGCGUUGUUCGGAUUCAUUGGGCGUAAAGGGUGCGUAGGUGGCGCUGUAAGUCGGGUGUGAAAUUUCGGAGCUUAACUCCGAAACUGCAUUCGAUACUGCGGUGCUUGAGGACUGGAGAGGAGACUGGAAUUCAUGGUGUAGCAGUGAAAUGCGUAGAGAUCAUGAGGAAGACCAGUGGCGAAGGCGGGUCUCUGGACAGUUACUGACGCUGAGGCACGA
rnacentral:rRNA from 1 species